rnacentral:rRNA from 1 species
GAUGAACGCUAGCGGCAGGCUUAACACAUGCAAGUCGAGGGGUAACAGGGAUUGCUUGCAAUCCGCUGACGACCGGCGCACGGGUGCGUAACGCGUAUGCAACCUACCUUCUACAGGGGGAUAGUCAAUAGAAAUGUUGAAUAAUACCCCAUACGAUCAUUAAUCUGCAUGGAUUGAUGAAGAAAGUUCCGGCGGUAGAAGAUGGGCAUGCGUCCUAUUAGUUAGUUGGUAAGGUAACGGCUUACCAAGACAUCGAUAGGUAGGGGUCCUGAGAGGGAGAUCCCCCACACUGGUACUGAGACACGGACCAGACUCCUACGGGAGGCAGCAGUGAGGAAUAUUGGACAAUGGAGGCAACUCUGAUCCAGCCAUGCCGCGUGCAGGAAGACUGCCCUAUGGGUUGUAAACUGCUUUUAUACAGGAAGAAUAGUAUCUACGUGUAGGUAUUUGACGGUACUGUACGAAUAAGGAUCGGCUAACUCCG